UUCCCAGGGGUGAAGAUUUAAUACAACUUAGUGCCCUGAAGAAGAAGAAGGAUAAUGGUUUGCAAUCAAUGCUCAUGGACAAGACACCUAAUCUGAACUUAACCAAAAAGUCAAUAUUUAACUGUACCUUAUCAGUGUGGAAAUGUCAAGCAUAGCAAGAGACAACGAACAAAUUUCCAAGUGAUUUCUCUUUUUUUUAUGUUUUGGUGUUCACAGCUAUGUGGAAGUGUUUCAACAUCAGAUAAGACAAAAUGGCCUUUGGGAGAAAAAAAAAGACAGCAAAUUACAAUACUUGCACUUGCCGAAACCACAGUUUAUGAGAGGAAAGCAGACACUGGAUAUGCAUUCUAUUCUCUCCUAGCACAUUCCCUGGUUCACCUUCCUGCCUGUGUGAUGCUAGCCCUUGAUUGUUUCCCACAGCUGGCAGCCUUUAAGAGACAGAUAUGUUGAAAUGUCUCCUUGCUGAGUAAAGUCACUAUCUGUUGCCACCCAACACAAUUGACACAAAUUAUUUGCACUCUAAAUUUCCAUGCCUAGGAGUAGAUACAUAAAGCAUGACUAGGAGGACUGUGGGUCUGCAAAACAGGAGCUCCACCUGAAUUUCCUGGAAGUUAUGGCCAGUUAAUGUAGAGAAAGAGGUUUUCAAAAUUGUAAGAACUUCAGGACCUUUGUCAGAAUUCCAUCUCGCUCCACAGGACUCCAGCUAACCUCACCCACAUAACUGGUGUUGAAAGUUUUAUUUUGUUAGAAAAUAAUGUUACACUGGAAAAACCUAUGCUGGUACUCACAUUUAAUGGGAUGUUGGACUGUCAGCAUUACAAUACAAGAAAGAAAGGUGAUGACUUAAAUGGAUAAAUAUGCAUUGUUGCUAACUGACUUUUUAAGGAAUUGUGGGUGGGCUUGACAUAACAGGGAACAUGAACAUGGAGAUCUGAAAAAUACUGAUAGAGAAAACAUCAUUUCAUCUGGGACUACAACUAGAAAGGACCUUUUUGAACUAGAUUCACAGAACAGUGAUUCAUGGAGUUCACCAAGGGUAGUGACCAACCAUUUCAAACUAUGUAUAUAGUAAAAAUAAUGUAGGUGCUUGUUAAAAAUGCAGAUUCCCAUGGACUUCCCCCUGGAGAUUCUGAUUCAGGGUGUUAAAAUAAUUCAUGCGGAGGCCAUUACACUGGGGUGGCUCCAUUGCUCUGGGUUUCUACUAAACAAACUGAAACCCAACUCAGUGUUAACAGGAAAACAACCAAUCAGAAACUGCCAACUGACCUCUAGUGGGACUUUCUACUGGAAUCAUCCAAAUAAGGCUACUGAUCCACUUUAACCAAUAAAAAAAAUG
rnacentral:lncRNA from 1 species